rnacentral:rRNA from 1 species
GACGAACGCUGGCGGCGUGCCUAAUACAUGCAAGUAGAACGCUGAAGGAGGAGCUUGCUUCUCUGGAUGAGUUGCGAACGGGUGAGUAACGCGUAGGUAACCUGCCUGGUAGCGGGGGAUAACUAUUGGAAACGAUAGCUAAUACCGCAUAAUAGUAGAUGUUGCAUGACAUUUGCUUAAAAGGUGCAAUUGCAUCACUACCAGAUGGACCUGCGUUGUAUUAGCUAGUUGGUGGGGUAACGGCUCACCAAGGCGACGAUACAUAGCCGACCUGAGAGGGGGAUCGGCCAAACUGGGACUGAGACACGGCCCAGACUCCUACGGGAGGCAGCAGUAGGGAAUCUUCGGCAAUGGACGGAAGUCUGACCGAGCAACGCCGCGUGAGUGAAGAAGGUUUUCGGAUCGGAAAGCUCUGUUGUAAGAGAAGAACGAGUGUGAGAGUGGAAAGUUCACACUGUGACGGUAUCUUACCAGAAAGGGACGGCUAACUACGUG